GGCUCUUGGGUCGUAAACCUCUUUUCUCAGGGAAGAACACAAUGACGGUACCUGAGGAAUAAGCAUCGGCUAACUCCGUGCCAGCAGCCGCGGUAAUACGGAGGAUGCAAGCGUUAUCCGGAAUGAUUGGGCGUAAAGCGUCCGCAGGUGGCAAUGUAAGUCUGCUGUUAAAGAGUGAGGCUCAACCUCAUAAGANNNNNNGAAACUACNUAGCUAGAGUNCGUUCGGGGCAGAGGGAAUUCCUGGUGUAGCGGUGAAAUGCGUAGANAUCAGGAAGAACACCGGUGGCGAAGGCGCUCUGCUAGGCCGUAACUGACACUGAGGGACGAAAGCUAGGGGAGCG
rnacentral:rRNA from 1 species